rnacentral:tRNA from 1 species
CGGGAAGUAGCUCAGCCAGGUUAGAGUGCACGGUUCGGGACCGUGAGGUCGGGAGUUCGAAUCUCCCCUUCCCGACCA